GUCCGGGCAAGCUGGAAGGUUAUAUAGCCCGCAUCGCCAAGCCUCUCCUGGUACAUAUGCACUAGUUCUUGAUUGCCAACCCAGAAUUCCUGGAGACAUAUAAUGGAAGACCUUUCGAUGAGUAACCAAUCCAAAAUCCUUUGGUUCCUGGUGAACCAGAAUGCCCUGAAAUCGCUUUCACGGAUACUCUGGUUCUGGUGAUCGAGUCGUUUGUAGAUUGGAGCCAGGAUAUUGAAAGUGGUACAAGAAAUGCAGGGCUCCUCCGUCAUUGUUGGAGAGAAGAAGCCACUACUGGUUCUUGAAAUCGUUCCAUUUAAAGUAGUAGUUUCAUUUCCACCAGAAUUCAGCUGCCCCACGUUCGAAUUAGCAUUAGAAUCU
rnacentral:misc_RNA from 1 species